AUUGAACGCUGGCGGCAGGCCUAACACAUGCAAGUCGAACGAGUGGCGGACGGGUGAGUAAUGUCUGGGAAACUGCCUGAUGGAGGGGGAUAACUACUGGAAACGGUAGCUAAUACCGCAUACCAUCAGAUGUGCCUAGAUGGGAUUGGCUGGUUGGUGGGGUAACGGCUCACCAAGGCGACGAUCCCUAGCUGGUCUGAGAGGAUGACCACCCACACUGGAACUGAGCCACGCUCCAGACUCCUACGGUGGGCAGCAUGGGGGAAUUUUGCACAAUGGGCGAAGUCCUGCUGCAGCCAUGCCGCGUGUUGGAAGAAGGCCUUCGGGUUGUAAAGUACUUUCAGCGGGGAGGCGUUACCCGCAGAAGAAGCACCGGCUAACUCCGUGCCAGCAGCCGCGGUAAUAC
rnacentral:rRNA from 1 species